UUAGAAGAAAAUACCUAGGAAUACAACUUACAAGAUGAAGAUGAAACCCUUUGAGUUUGGAAGGCUUUGCAGCAGAAUUCCUUUGAUGUAGUGCUGGGUAUAGAAUCCAGAUUUUUGUAGCUUUUACUCUGCUAUACUUUGGCUAUGAUACACUUCUUUCCUUCCCUUUGAAUCAGACAGUGGAAUUUAAUGUCUGCUCUUGAAGGUGCUUGCUUCUCCAUAGCCUUCCACCAUGA